GGGUUCGUGUCGAGGCGACGCUCCGGUCUCCAAAUCCGGUAGCUCGAGGUUCGAUUCCUCGCGGGCCCG
rnacentral:tRNA from 1 species